GGAAUGACUGUCAACAAAUCACUACAGGCCCAUAUGUUAAGUUCUUUAAUAGUACGGUGACUGGAACUACGGGACGGAACCCAAAAUGCAGUCACCCAAACGCAUCAUGUCCAUUUUGAUCCCUACAGCAAUUAAGCCUUGCUUUCACAGCCGCUGAAGCAGACCAACAGAUGGUUGUUUAAUUGUUUAUAAAACCAAACAUUAACUACUGGGCUUGGCAACGUAUCUCUUCUCCUGAAGCCUCUCAAAGCAGAUAUCAGACAACACUCUGGAAGAUGCUGAGAAACAUCAAAAGAUCAAAGGUCGAAUCUUGGAAUUCAGAUCUGUCAUUGACCUGCCUUAUAACUUCUGUCAAACUGCAAUGUGGUGAGAUUGUUCACAUGUUUCACAGCAGUGUUGCAUGGAAUGACUAAUGGCCUUCAGUUGGUUCCUGUGUAGAUGGUAAAAUGGAAAGCUGUUCACAAAACCCCUUUCUAGCAAAGAUGCGUCUCUGCCAAGUCACAUAUGUUGGCCAGAGGUGUGUUUAGGGAACUUGGCCCUCUUCAGAAAAAUACAGUCUCCUUGUUCCUGGCCAGAUUUUAAUGUUGCUCUACCUUUUAGCUUAUGAAGCUUCAGGCUGUCUGUACAAAUGCUGUCUGUUUUAAUAGAGUGCUAAUUGCAGUAACGGGCAGGGCACUUAUGUCUGUAAUCAUCACAUCAACGCCACUUGGCUUAAUCCUUGAAAAUGGACAACAAGCUAUUACUAAACCAUAAAAAUCACAAAUUGUGCGUGCUGACCUAGAGACACCUCCAAUCAAUGAGAAGCAGCCUGAGAGCCACCAAAGGCUCUUCAAUGUCCAGCUGUCACCGACAUUCCCCAAGAACUUCAAAGAUUUUAAAGGCCACCAUUUCCAUGCACGUGUCUCUUGGCGUUGCUGCUGUUUACACUAUGUGGAAGCUGGACACUCAGCCUGUUUCGGGGGGACCCAGGCUAAAGGUUCUGCCCUAGGUGUGUAGAGACGGGGUUCCACCGUGUUAGCCAGGAUGGUCUCGAUCUCCUGACCUCGUCAUCCUCCCGCCUUGGCCUCCCAAAGUGCUGGGAUUACAGGCUUGAGCCACCGCGCCCCGCUCUUUCGUGUUCCAAAGGCUUUUUAAAUAAACUUCCACUCCUGUCCUGGAUUCUGCUUUAUGGCCCUCAGUCGAAUUCUUUCUUCUGAGGAGGCAAGGACUGAAGUUGCUUCUGACCAGUACAGGUACGCCGCAGGACCUGGAAGAAGUCAUGCCACGGGCCAGACCUUAACAUUCCUUUCGGCUUACCCCAGGAUUUCAGACGAAGCUUCACUUUCCUAACCAGUCACAAAUCAGAGAAUUUUUGAUUCCACCUAUGACCUGUGAGCUCCUGCUUCAAGAUAUUCCACCUUUUUUAGGCCAAACCAAUGUAUAACCUCCAAGUGUCGAUUUACACUUUCGACUGUAACUUCUGCUUUCCUGAGAUUUACCCCUGCCUUUAAAAACCCUUGCUUGUAAUCCCUCAGGGAGGCCGUGUAUUUAUUAAUCAUGAGCUGCCCAAUUCUCCUUGCUUGGUGCCCUGCAAAUAAACACCCUCUUUUCUCCCACUGCAAAA
ensembl:lncRNA PPP1R3B-DT PPP1R3B divergent transcript